GACGAACGCUGGCGGCGUGCCUAAUACAUGCAAGUCGAACGAGAGCGCCCGGUGCUUGCACUGGUCAAUCUAGGGGCGCACGGGUGAGUCACACGUGGGUACCCUGCCCAUCAGAGGGGGAUAACAUCCGGAGACGGAUUACAACACCGCAUAGGUCUUCGAGCCGCAUGGCUUGAAGGGGAAAAGAGGCGCAAGCUUCUGCUGAUGGGUGUACCCGCGGUGCAUUAGCUAGUUGGUGGGGUAACGGCUCACCAAGGUCGUGAUGCAUAGCCGACCUGAGAGGGUGAUCGGCCACAUUGGAACUGAGACACGGCCCAGACUCCUACGGGAGGCAGCAGUAGGGAAUCUUCGGCAAUGGACGCAAGUCUGACGGAGCAACGCCGCGUGAGUGAAGAAGGUUUUCGGAUCGUAAAGCUCUGUUGUUAGAGAAGAACAAGUGCUAGAGUAACUGUUAGCGCCUUGACGGUAUCUAACCAGAAAGCCACGGCUAACUACGUG
rnacentral:rRNA from 1 species